GGAGUCUGGGCCGUGUCUCAGUCCCAAUGUGGCCGGUCACCCUCUCAGGUCGGCUAUGGAUCGUCGGCUUGGUGGGCCGUUACCUCACCAACUACCUAAUCCAACGCGGGCCCAUCCUUAACCACCGGAAUUUUUCACACUCGACCAUGCGGUCCCGUGCGCUUAUGCGGUAUUAGCAGCCGUUUCCAACUGUUGUCCCCCGGUUAAGGGCAGGUUGCCCACGCGUUACUCACCCGUCCGCCACUAAGUCACAGGAUGCUUCACCCGAAAGUUCGGCUUCCUGUGCUUCGUUCGACUUGCAUGUGUUAAGCACGCCGCCAGCGUUCAUC
rnacentral:rRNA from 1 species